UCCCUGGUGGCUCAGAGGUUAAAGCAUCUGCCUGGAAUGCUAGAGACCCAGGUUCAAUCCCUGGGUCGGGAA
rnacentral:tRNA from 1 species